GACGAACGCUGGCGGCGUGCCUAAUACAUGCAAGUCGAGCGGACCAAAAGAGAGCUUGCUCUCUUGAGGUUAGCGGCGGACGGGUGAGUAACACGUGGGCAACCUGCCCGUAAGACUGGGAUAACUCCGGGAAACCGGGGCUAAUACCGGAUAAUACAAGGGACCGCAUGGUUCCUUGUUGAAAGGCGGCUUUGGCUGUCACUUACGGAUGGGCCCGCGGCGCAUUAGCUAGUUGGUGAGGUAACGGCUCACCAAGGCGACGAUGCGUAGCCGACCUGAGAGGGGGAUCGGCCACACUGGGACUGAGACACGGCCCAGACUCCUACGGGAGGCAGCAGUAGGGAAUCUUCCGCAAUGGACGAAAGUCUGACGGAGCAACGCCGCGUGAGCGAAGAAGGUCUUCGGAUCGUAAAGCUCUGUUGUUAGGGAAGAACAAGUACCGUUCGAAUAGGGCGGUACCUUGACGGUACCUAACCAGAAAGCCACGGCUAACUACGUGCCAGCCGCCGCGGUAAAAC
rnacentral:rRNA from 1 species